rnacentral:rRNA from 1 species
CCUACGGGAGGCAGCAGUGGGGGAUAUUGCACAAUGGGGGAAACCCUGAUGCAGCAACGCCGCGUGGAGGAAGGCGGGUUUCGGAUUGUAAACUUCUGUUCUUAGUGAAGAAUGAUGACGGUAGCUGAGGAGCAAGCCACGGCUAACUACGUGCCAGCAGCCGCGGUAAUACGUAGGUGGCAAGCGUUGUCCGGAAUUACUGGGUGUAAAGGGAGCGCAGGCGGGAGUGCAAGUCAGCUGUGAAAACUACGGGCUUAACUUGUAGACUGCAGUUGAAACUGGUUUGCUGGAGUGAAGGAGAGGUUGGCGGAAUUCCGGGUGUAGCGGUGAAAUGCGUAGAUAUUCGGAGGAACACCGGUGGCGAAGGCGGCCAGCUGGGCUUUAACUGACGCUGAGGCUCGAAAGUGUGGGGAGCAAACAGGAUUAGAUACCCGGGUAGUC